AGUGCAUCCACUGGCAAGGAGGUGGUAGCAGGAAAUAGGCAUGUGGUGACUUCAGUAACAGAGACGACUGCAGGGCUGACCUAAGCUUAGUAGCCUGGCUUCUCCGGGAGCUGAGGGUGAGCAUCAUGCCUGCUCCAUCUCCCUCUUUGUUGUGGAUAAGGCAGGGUCAUCAAGACAGGAGGAUAUGAGGCAGAAUCACCACACAAGCUAACCUGAUGUACAUAUGACAUUAAUCCAAUAGACUUAGGAAUAAGAUACAGGGGGUUUUCCUGAAUGAUUCGAGUAUAUCCCCAUUCAUAUUAAGAAAACAAAGUAUUGGCCAAGCGUGGUGGCUCACGCCUGUAAUCCCGGCACUUUGGAAGGCCGAGGCCAGUGGAUCACCUGAGAUGGACUCAACGACUCUCUUACCGUCCAGCUCUCAAGUCCCUUCUCUUGUGAAAAUGGAAAAGUUGAACUACAGUUGAGAUAUUAUUCCCAGGUGUUCUUUGGAACACAGGGGAUUUCUCCAAAAGGCACAGAACAAAUUGCCUCCAAACAGCCAAGAUUCCAGCAGAAGCUGGAGUAGCAGACUACUUGGAUCUUCAAAGUACCUGGCCCUGAGUCAGUUAAGGAAGAUCUUUUCUUCUCUUUUGUACAAUCCUAUGAUGAGAGCUGCAAAGUGAACUGACUAAGAGCUUCUGCCUUGAUCAUUGACCUCCCAAUCCUAAUAAUAUGUUCACUGGCCAAACUUCCUAAUCGAUUUGUCUUUUGGAUAUAACGUUCCUCCUACUGUUUGCCUGAUUGAGAAAUCUGCUACAGAACAUGACCGGUUAGCAUUCCCACCAACCCCAGUGCUACACUGACUGUCUUUCGAUGGACUUUGCUCCUUGCUGCCUCUCUGAGGUCCCAGACCUUCAGAGUGACCUUCACAGCUCUGCCUAACUUUCUGUCAUACUUCUAUCAAGAGAGACAGCUAAAUCAAUAUUUUUAAUGUGCUUUGCUGUCGGAAUUCGAUGAUCUGUCACAGUUCUUGCCCAAUACACCCCAUCAUUAUUGUUAAAAUGUUUUUAGCUUUGUUUGUAGAAUUGCUUUAACUGGUUUCAUCUCUGGGAGCUACACUUUGAAAUAUAACUUUAGCAACAUUUUACUAUACUUUUUCACAACCCAGAGCAGUACUAUUUUAUGCUUAGUGGUUAAACUAAUUCCAUAAAUCUUUUGCAACUAUCCUCUAUUCUUUUUCUUGUAAUUUUUACCUGGGAAGGUUUUUACUGAUAAUCAUCCUAUCCUGAGUCAUCCCACAAACCAAUCUGUCUCACUAAUCAUUGCUUCUAACCUACAGACUAAGCAUAACUUCUGCUAAAUGAUCUUUGAUAAGAUGCUAUGACUCUAUAAAGUCUUUGAUAUUCAUGUCUAAAUUUAAUCACUUGUAGAUUUUCAUAGAAUCAAUCUUUCACUUCUACAAUUGGGAGUAUUUAUAAGUUGUUUAUCUUAAACAGUUCCUCUAUCACGCUUUUCACGUUAAAUAAAGCAAUCCCUUCAAAUCAA
rnacentral:lncRNA from 1 species